rnacentral:rRNA from 1 species
CCAGCUCCAAUAGCGUAUAUUAAAGUUGUUGUGGUUAAAAAGCUCGUAGUUGGAUCUCGGCGGACAGAAGUCGGUCCGAAUGCUUUCGGUACUGGCUUGUUUGUCCGUGUGUUUUGCCAGAGGCAGGCGGGUGCUCUUCGCCGAGUGUCCGUCUGUGCUGGCAGGUUUACUUUGAAAAAAUUAGAGUGCUCAAAGCAAGCUCUCACGCUUGAAUAUUCGUGCAUGGAAUAAUAGAAUAGGAUGUCGUUUCUAUUUUGUUGGUUUUCGGAAAUCGACAUAAUGAUUAAUAGGGACAGUCGGGGGCAUUUGUAUUCAAACGACAGAGGUGAAAUUCUUGGACCGUUUGAAGACAAACUACUGCGAAAGCAUUUGCCAAGAAUGUUUUCAUUAAUCAAGAACGAAAGUUAGAGGUUCGAAGGCGAUUAGAUACCGCCCUAGUUCUAACCAUAAACGAUGCCAGCUAGCGAUCUGCAGGCGUUUUACUUUACGACCUUGCAGGGAGCUUCCGGGAAACCAAAGCUUGUGGGUUCCAGGGGAAGUAUGGUUGCAAAGCUGAAACUUAGAGGAAUUGACGGAAGGGCACCACCAGGAGUGGAGCCUGCGGCUUAAUUCGACUCAAC